rnacentral:rRNA from 1 species
AUCGAACGCUGGCGGCAUGCUUAACACAUGCAAGUCGAACGGCAGCACGGGCUUCGGCCUGGUGGCGCGUGGCGAACGGGCGUGUAAUAUAUCGGAACGUACCCAGAUGUGGGGGAUAACGUAGCGAAAGUAACGCUAAUACCGCAGACGAGCUAGGGAUGAAAGCCGGGGACCGCAAGGCCUUGUGCUCCUGGAGCGGCCGAUAUCUGAUUUGCUAGUUGGUGAGGUAAAGGGUUACCAAGGCGGCGAUCAGUAGCUGGUCUGAGAGGACGACCAGCCACCCUGGAACUGAGACACGGUCCACACUCCUGCGGGAGGCAGCAGUGCGGAAUUUUGGGCAAUGGGGGCAAGGCUGAUCCAGCAAUGCCGCGUCAGUGAUGAAGGCGUUCGGGUUGUAAAGCGCUUUUGUCAGGGGAGAAGCGGUGGAGGCUAAUACCCGACGCUAAUGACGGUACCGGAAGAAUAAGCACCGGCUAACUACGUG